GUUGAACGCUGGCGGCAUGCCUAACACAUGCAAGUCGAGCGGCGCGUCGAACGAGGAAGUACUGCCUAGUGAUCUGCCUGUUGGUGGGGUAUAACGUCCGGGGACGUGCCCUAAUACCGCAUCAUAGCAGGUCGCCUUAGGUUGGAUUAGCUAGUUGGUGGGGUAAUGGCCUACCAAGUCGACGAUCCGUAACUGGUCUGAGAGGAUGAUCAGUCACACUGGAACUGAGACACGGUCCAGAUUCCUACGGGAGGCAGCAGUGGGGAAUAUUGGAAAAUGGGCGAAAGUCUGAUCGAGCAACGCCGCGUGUGUGAAGAAGGUCUUCGGAUUGUAAAGCACUGUAAGUAGGGAGGCGGUACCAAAAGAAUAAGCACCGGCUAACUGCGUGCCAGCCGCCGCGGUAAUAC
rnacentral:rRNA from 1 species